rnacentral:misc_RNA from 1 species
UUUCAGUGCCAAUUCUGCCCUGGCCGGCGCCACCACGGAGCAGCACCCGGCUCGAUCCUCACACACGGCACCCCCUCCGCCGCCACAACUGCUGACGAAGCUCUCGACGAGUUCUCCGUGUGUGAAGGUCAUGUCUAGAGACUGAGGACAAGACCAGAGUGUUGCCACGCCCCGGGGACAUAUACACUCGAAGGGGACAACCAAACCUCGACCCCUUCUUCAGGAUGGUGCCGCCGUACGAAGCUCUUUGUUCUCACGUGACCUUCAGCCACCUGUGGAGAAAACUGUGAACUAUUUACAUAUAACCAUCAAGUGUCUUCCUUACGUAAAUAAACUUCCUUUGUUAACAAGUGCCUUUGUGAUGUUUACGAGUGACCUUAUAAGUAAACGAAUGCCUAUUGUAACGUUAAACAAGUGAACUUAAACAAAUGCAUUUAUUACGGAAUCGAGUACUACCUUUGUGAUGUGUUCAACAAAUAAGGAACGGGGAGAAGGAAUUCGACGAAGUGAUAAAAACUGAGGGUGCGUGUGGCAUUUGUCCAGUGUACAGUGAAGAACAAAAAAGAUCAACUCAGGAACUAUAGUAACCUGAUCUGACGUCAUCAAGUAACUGGUGUAAAUUAAUUGCAAAGUUAUGGGGAAUGAGAGCCGUGCUGUGUGAGGUCAGGGCUGUGUACUGUGCCUCCACCAUAGUAUAACCCUUCAAGGGGGACUCCUCGUAUACACACACACACACACACAUGCCAGUUCCACACACUGAGUCAACAACACGCCACCAACCCUCACGCUGCACCUCCAUUUGCCUUGCCAAGAACUCGCCUCUGAACGUCAUCUCCUUACUAUACACCACCACUGUCUUGUGAGAUAACUUAAAACACACACACACUCACUCACACCACCACCUCCUCCAUCAUCUUUACACACCUGACGAAGAGGCCCUCGUGGUCAACGGUGACCAAUGAGGGUGAGUGCGGAGCAAGGCCGAAGGGUGAGGGUCGUCCACGCCCCUGGCCACCUGCUGGACCCCCACUCCUCCCCCACCAGGUAGUUGUGUCCUCUACACUAGUACUGGCACUUUCCUCUUGUGCUGCUCCGACUGCUGUUGACCCCGCUACUGCCACACAAAUCAUCGCUGCUAAACAAGAUGGCUCCGCGUCGUCAGCCGGGGUCCCUAUACCAGCAGUGUGUGGGGCGCCUGUCUCACUUCCUGGACGGGUUAUGUAGCACUCACGUCCACGCUCCUGACCACCCAGAGCUUGUAGCCGUCGCCUCCUAUCUCGACUCCCUGCUUCCGGUACCUCUUCAGGCUUCAAUUGGUGAGGCUGUGUUGGCCAUCAGUGACAGGCUACAGAUGACGCCGUCACCGUCACACGUGCGGCUGUUACUGCGGCUGCGGGUGCGGCGGGUCUCCACCAGUGGUUCCGUUGUGCAGUCUGGCGUGCUGGAGACUGCCGAUGGAGGCUUUCUGGAGAACUUGUCUUUGUUUUACGCCGGGUGUGGAGACCGAGCCACCAAGCUGUACAACUUCCUGCACACCGCCACUACCCUCACCCACCUCAGCUGCACAGACUUCUGCAACAACCACAUGAUCGACAUCGUGGCCAGGACCUGUGAGCGACUCUACUGCAUCGACUUACGAGGCUGUUAUGACGUCAACGACGACGGCGUCCUGCGGCUGUGCGGGCUGCAGGACGGCCUGAGGGACAACAUCGAGGUGUUGAGUAAGGGCGGCAUCCUUCAGCCUACUUCACGCUGUGCUCGCUCCCUCAAGGAGAUCAAGUUCUCCAUGACCAAAGUGACGGAGGCCGGCGUGGCCGUCAUCCUCCUCGUCCUCACCAACAUAGAGAUCCUUCGCGUCCCGGAUAUCAAGAUGGAGAAAGUGUUCAACUUCCUUCAGACUAUCGACCACAAAAAUGUUCAGUGUAACUUGAAGGAAUUCCAUUCUCGUGAGAUCCUGAACGAGUUCCAGCUGACGGUGCUGACGAAUCUGUGUCCCAACCUGGAGUACAUCCAGGUCUCCUUCAUCGGUAACUCGGAGAUGGACCUGACGCGGCUACAGCAACUCGCUCGUCUACAGAAGCUAAAGCGAGCCAAGUUCGCUGACGUGAACUGCGACGCCCUGGUGUGGUUCUUACAACAAGUGGGGGACAGAAUGACACACCUCUUUCUGUACACCUACCACACUCGCUUCUCCCAGCAGAAGUUGAGUAUCACCCGCAACCACCUACAGUGUCUGGCCCAGUACUGCCCUUACCUCGAGAGUCUCUGCCUCGAUGGUUACCUGCUGGGGGAGGACAUCCCUUACCAUCUGGCACCCGAAAACAUGCAUUACUUCAAGGCUCUCCGCUCUCUACAAGUGGCCUCCAUGAAGCUCUCCGAGGACGACCUCAAGGUGUUUCUCAACAAGUGUCAGAACAUGAGGAUCCUGGAGCUGGUGCUGCAGAACCCCCACGUCCUCUACGACCGUCUCAUAUGUGAACUCCUGGACGCCGGGGUGUGGCAGAACCUGGUCAAGAUCCGGGUGCUCAACUCUCCCCUCACCAGCAAGGUGAUGCACCGCCUGGUGAAAGAGUGUCCGCUCUUACAGGAGGUCGGCUGCCUCUACAGUUGGCUCGUUUCCAAGGAACAAGUUUCAGAGUUCAAGGAGAACAUCAGGCAUCAAAAUUUUGACAUUGAAAUUUAUUGAUGAAAUCCUGCGUUGUUUAACAGUGUUACAGAAAGAAGACAAGUGACCGCUGAAACCUGUGCGCCGCCUGCCGGAGCUUCUCUACAUGGCUAUAAGAGGCGUGGGUCACCCUGGUUCAUCUAUUGCUGCUGUUUUAUCUUCGGGGUUUGCAUGUAAGCGAGGCUGCAACUGAUGUUACCCGGGCAGUGUUGGUACAUAGCUGGAGUGUGAGAGUGAGGGACCCACACACUCUGGACCAGUAACGCUACUUUAACCACCUGUGUGUUGGCCGCCCCAGGACGGACACCCACACACCACCACUUCAUGCUCGUGCUUGUAAAUUGCACCAAAUCUACUGUUUGUUUUGACCUGGAAAGCUUUUAUAAACUGACAGACGUGAAACAGUGACCUGAUGAUGCUUUAAGAUGAGUAUUUUGCCAGAGAGAUUAAGUAAAAUGUCUCUAUAUUUUAUAUCUAUUUUUCCUUACAACCUGUCCCAGCAACUCCCGCCACAUCCUUACUCAGCAUUUUUUAUGUUAUUGUAGUUUUUUUGCGGUGUGCUCACCUGCAAUGUGGUUAAGAGGACUGCCAAGAGGAUAUCCGUUGGUGGGGUGCCAGGCGGGUGCCAAGCGUGCCUCCACACCCCCCCCCCCGCCUGAUUCCUGGCCUAAAGGGAAGGAGCACGGCUGCUAAUUUUGGCCCAGAACACAACAAAGAUCAUUUACUUGAGAGUUGCAGAUAACAGAAAGCUUUAGAUUCCUCGCAGACUGUAUUUUUUGUUUUAAGUUGGCAGUUGUUACGGUGAUGUGGGCGGCCCUUAUACUGCCGCCCACUACCACUGCUUCACUCCACGGGAACGUUUGCACCGUGAAAACUGUGUCCUAGAAAUGCGAGGAGAUUUAUUUCACGGGCCAUAUCACCGGCUCAGAGUCAGCACAUUGUUGUUUGUGGGACCUGUGUGUGUAAAAGACGUUAAUUGUGUGUAUGUUUACAUCUCUCCAAUACCGCUGAGGUUUUCUUUUAAGUUCAGAUGUUCAGUGUUGGUAGGAGACUGAUAUUUAGACCUACACACACACACGCACAUAACAAACGCGUCCUUUUUCACAAACACACACAGCUUCCAAAAUAACACCAUGCCAGCUCUGAGACUAAUUUGUUCCCUAAACCAGUUCAUGCUAUUAUUGAUACUCCCUUGUGUGGUGAAGAUUCUCGUUCAAAAGUAAAUUAAUAUCAGAGAAAUCUUGGGAAUUGGUUCGUAGAGCACCGUUGGGGAAACAUCAAUCCCCAGCAUACUGUAUACGUAACACUUUCCUGUUGUCGCCAUACUUGUGAAAUGUUGGAACUUGCAUUUUGACUUUGAUUUAGAAAGCGUUGUGUAAGAAGUUUGUAAUACUGUAGUUUUAAGAGAUAAUAAUAAUGUUGAAGAUCUGCUCCAGCUGCAUAAUAAAAUGAUAAUAGUUAUAGAAGAGCGAGUUGUUGACAUUUCUGUGAGGAGAACGUGACUUAUAACGACGGAAAAGUUGGUGGAAGAUGAAAAGAAAACAGUUGACUCGGAUAGAAAGUGAAGGAAGUAUAAGUUGGAAGUUAUGGAAAGUUUAAGUACGCAUUGAUGGAAAGAAUAAGUAUGGAGUGAUGGAAAAUGUCAGUACGAAGUUAUGGAAAGUGUAAGUACGAAGUUAUGAAUUUGCCACAUUUAAAUCUAACUUAAACCGACCGAAAUUGUGUCGGUUUGUCUGAUUUUUGCAUCGAUAACACCUACAGUAUGUUCUCAAAAACAUGUCAACAAUUCACAGUAACUUUUAGUUUGUUUACAGUUAUUAGCCGGGUGGCGGGCGGAGGUUUUCAAUAAUCCUCCACAAGAAAGUGUAUUAUUUAUGAGACUUAAAGUAAUAUACAAUAGUCAGGUAAUCUUCUUGGAAUAGAAUUCUGACUUUAAAUAUAUAUAUCAAUUGUCUUCAUGUGCAGAUUAUAUAUUUGGGUAACUAACUGUUGAUCAGUGUCGCGGGCCAGCAGCUCACUGAUGGCCAUAGAGGCAUCAUGCACGUCUGCUAAAAGUCAAGAACACGCUAACUAAACUCAACCUAACGUAUGUCCUCUCUAUGAUAGUUAGCUUAAGAUGGGUUAUGUUAGAUUGGUAGGUUUUAUCUGUUUUAAGAGUUGGUUUAUUAGAUUUUCACCAAAUAUUAAAAUCCAAACAUACAUAGUUUAUCAGUUAUAUGUUGCUAUUGGAUAAGUAAAACGUUGCUUCCGUGAUGUUUGUAGGGAAAAGAAAACGCCAAAUAAUGGGUAAAAAAUAAACCGCGAUACUGAUCUACAGGUUGCCUUUAUAUCAAACUGGGUGAUACUUUGGUGUCUUAUCCUCGUGUUGUCGUCAUCCCACGUCACAGUUUCUGGCCAAUGGUUUCAUAUAUUUUGGAGGCGUAAGUGUGGUCGCCCCAUGACUAUAGUUAGGAUUCCAUUCACGCGUUAGCACUAGCGCCAAAAAUAGAUGACAUUGAAAUGUGCACGGUUGUUUCCAUUGGCACGGUUUUGUUAGCGUUAUGCGUUUGCAGUAUACUGUCCAUGCCAAUCGCUCCCUGUAGCGACUGAAAACGCGUGAAUGGAAUUAUAGCUUUAGGGUCCGUUCGUUAAUACAGAUGGCAGUGGAUCAUGACGUCACGUAAUAUGCAGAAGUAUGUUAACCAUGUUUCAUUCUGGGUGUUAUGAUGUCUUGUGAGUGUUAAACAAGACUCAAGGAUACGUUUGCUCAAUGCGCGUGACAUUCCCCCUGCCUGCCUGAGGAACACAGCGGACGCCAUUACUCAGUACCUGUCUCCCUGGCCGUGUUGUUGACGAUGCUCCCGUUCAUAGACACAGUUAAGGUGUCUGUGAACGGCACCUCUGUGUAUGUUCUUCCUGUGAGUGCGCGUGUACAAUACAGUGACACACAUCGCUGUUGUUGUCAUUAUAUCCAACAUUGUCUUUCAAAAAGUUGUGAAUUGUUUCAUAAUAAAUAGUUGAUUUUUCCUA